CCUUAUGGCCAUACCACCCUUAGCAUGCCCGAUGCUGUCUGAUCUCACAACUUAAGCAGGGUCAGGCCUGAAUAUCUUCAUUUAGCCUGGAAAAAGAGUUUGUUGCAGGGU
rnacentral:rRNA from 1 species